CCUACGGGGGGCAGCAGUGAGGAAUAUUGGUCAAUGGACGAGAGUCUGAACCAGCCAAGUAGCGUGAAGGAUGACUGCCCUAUGGGUUGUAAACUUCUUUUAUAUGGGAAUAAAAUGUUCAUCGUGUGGGAUUUUGUAUGUACCAUAUGAAUAAGGAUCGGCUAACUCCGUGACAGCAGCCGCGGUAAUACGGAGGAUCCGAGCGUUAUCCGGAUUUAUUGGGUUUAAAGGGAGCGUAGGUGGAUUUUUAAGUUAGUGGUGAAAGUUUGCGGCUCAACCGUAAAAUUGCAGUUGAAACUGGCAGUCUUGAGUACAGUAGAGGUGAGCGGAAUUCGUGGUGUAGCGGUGAAAUGCUUAGAUAUAACGAAGAACUCCGAUUGCGAAGGCAGUUCACUGGACUGAAACUGACACUGAGGCUCGAAAGUGUGGGGAUCAAACAGGAUUAGAUACCCCUGUAGUC
rnacentral:rRNA from 1 species